rnacentral:rRNA from 1 species
GACGAACGCUGGCGGCGUGCUUUACACAUGCAAGUCGAACGGAAAGGCCUGCUUUCCCUUGUGGAUUGCGGGUACUCGAGUGGCGAACGGGUGAGUAACACGUGAGUGAUCUGCCCCCAACUUGGGUAUAAGCCUGGGAAACUGGGUCUAAUUCCCGAUAGGACUGCAGGGUGGUGCCUGUGGUGGAAAACGAUUUUCUAGUGGUUGGGGAUGAGCUCGCGGCCUAUCAGCUUGUUGGUGGGGUAAUGGCCUACCAAGGCGGCGACGGGUAGCCGGCCUGGGAGGGUGGACGGCCACAUUGGGACUGCGAUACGGCCCAGACUCCUACGGGAGGCAGCAGUGGGGAAUAUUACACAAUGGGCGGAAGCCUGAUGCAGCGACGCCGCGUGGGGGAUGACGGCCUUCGGGUUGUAAACUCCUUUCGACCGCGAGGAAGCCACCUGGUUGGAAGGGUGGUGACGGUAGUGGUAGAAGAAGCACCGGCUAACUACGUG